CAGAGUCAGAACAGGGAGUCCAUCACUCAGGUGAAACAGAGUGAGAGGUGAGUGGAAGGAACACAUGUUUUAGUAUGAGAGGUGUGGAGGGCACUAACGCAUACCAUUGUGUAAGACAUAGGUGGUUUGUGAUGUUAUAUCGUAUUCAAUGUCAUUUGAUGUAACGUUACUGCAAAAUGUCUUCUCUGCAUUCAAAUAGUACCAACAGAUAUUGCUCUACCUCUGUUUUUCUUCAGGCCAGACAAGAAAUGUACCUUUUCAUUCUAGACAACCAUCGCAUUUCGAAUACCACCCAGAAAGCUCCUGCUCCCUCCGUUACCAUCAGUAACGUCUCUGCUCCUCCUCCGACGCCCAAAGCCCUUCAGCCGGGAGGCUACAACCCCCAGGUGGUCCAGAGUCGGAUCUCUGAAGUGCUGAAGAAGUACUACAGUGGUCUGUGGCUGUCCAAGCUGCCCUGUGUGUACCGGGACAUGCACAACCAGGACCUACCUGGCCAAGGGGUCAUAGACCUGGAGAACUGGACACAUGUCUGCUCAGUUGAGAAGCCCGUUAGUACCAAUCGAGCAGAUAGGCUGGUCUACCCCCCUCAGCCCAAACCCCCCAGCCUUGCUGUCGCACCAGUCAAACCCGCAACGGCCCCUUAUACUGUCAAACCAGUGACAACCCUCCUAGCUAAACCCAUCACUACCGCUCCAGUCAAACCAGUCACCACCAACCCAAUGAAACUGGCCCCUCUAUUCUACUCACUGCAGAGCCCCUCCUUGAACCAGAGUCAGACCUCGCCCACUCCACCGGCCCCCUCGUGGAAGCACUCCCCGACCAAUACCCCCACCUCUCCAACUGCCCCCUCUACCUUGUGGAAGCCCUCUCCUUCCCACCUUCUCCCUACACCCACCUGUAAUUUGUGGAAACCCUCCCCUACUUCCACCUCGCCCUCAUGGAAGCCCACAACUACCACUUUCUCCCCUACUCCCCCCCCCAACUCCUCCCUUCCUCACCUCCCCCACAUGGAUGGGCUCCCCUACCCCACCACCCCUAUCCCCCCUCUCCCCUACAGCGGUGAGCAUCCCUGCGGAGGCGUGCCUCAGACUGAAGGAGCUGCUGUCUAAAUACAGUGACGGCCUGUGGGCCCACGCCCUACCAGGAGACCUUCAAGGCCCCCCUUCCCAGAGGACAUCCUGGCCAACAUGUCUCUCUUACAGGACAUCUGCACUGUGGAGUACCCCAUGCCCGACAACAAAAAUAGGGCCAUCCUUUCUGCCACGGAGUAGAAGGCCAAGAUAGGGCUGCCUGUUCUCCUCCAGAAAUAUUAUUGUAUUUAUUCAUUGUUUAAUUCAGGUGAUCAUAUAUUGGAGUCAUUUCUGAUUCUGAGUCGGGAAUCGACUCUUGAAAUUGAUUCUCUCUCAAUCCUGAGCCGACUCCAAUAGAAGAAACUGGUAGAAAACACAUUGGCACAACUGUAGUAAGGUAUGUUGUUUGGACAUGCAGAUGAGCAGCACCCCGUCCUCCCCGUCGGGUUAUAAGCUCAACAGCACCCACAUGGUUCCUCCACUGCUGCUCCCCAAGGAGGAGUUCCCCUCAGUGCUGGUUGUGGAGGCAAGCAGCAUCGACCUGGUCAUCCUCAGGUGUACUAGGUGGAACAUGGCUUCUCUGAGGUCCUCAGUAGAACCACACUAUUGGAGCUGCAGAAAGACUUCCUCAAGCUGCCCUUCCAGGCGGCUGUCUACUAGCUGGUAACCAAGUUCAGCUCCCAUUUCCCCCAUUUCUUCUGAGCGUUGCAACUACGAUGUGUCUACUGAAAAGGAUUAGUUGGAAAGACGAGUUGGGUUUUGUGUGAUGGAGAAUACAAGCAGUUAGCUAAAUGUAAUGUUUAUUUACACGUGACACGUCACCACAGUUAGUGGUAUUCCACGUUCCUGUGUGUUUAAUCUGCUGUCUUUAUCCUUCAGGGAUCCUCUCAUAUCUAAGUACCUCUGGGAUGUAAUAUGGGGCAAGAGGUUGAUUUUAAUCGCUUUCGUUCUUUUUCCAUCUCUCUUUCCCGCUCUCUUUUCUCUCUCCAGCUCUCUCUCCCUCACGCUUCUGUCACCAUCUC